rnacentral:lncRNA from 1 species
GAAACCACAUGUGGCUCUUUAUUUGAAAGAAUAUCUAUUGCGAAGCAUUAUUGUCAAGCUUAGAAAACAAAAUUUUUGAACCAAUCAAAUGGAUUGAUGAUUGAUCUGCAUAUGCAACAUGUUUGGCUGCAGUGAGAUGCAGUUUUCAUCUAUUUCUGUUGUGAUCAAUAUAAUGAUCCGUAUAUAUCUUUGAGUUUGUUAUUAUAUGUGAUUUAAUAUCAACAUGAAACUAAUGGGAUAGUUGGUGGGACAUUGGAUACGAUUAUUGGAACUCUUUAUUUGGAAAGAUCUGCCCCUUGGAAGGCAUGCAAACAUGGCUUGUGAAAUCAGUUUGAUAUAUUGUUUUAGACUUUGAAAUUAUCUCAGC